UCUCUCCUUUCUUCAUCUCUUAAUGUAUUUAUUUAUUUUUGGUUUCAUCAUUGAAAUUUGAAUGAAUGGCUUGAGUGGUUAUCUCAUCUGUCAAAUCUGUUGGGCAUAGGUUUGGUUAUGUUUCCAGAAGAUAUUGUGUGCUAAAUGUGGGUCAGGAGCAUUUAGGAAGGAGGGCACAGCUGUAUACUAUUCCUAUGAAAAAGAAUGUCAAGAAUCAUCAGAAAGACUUAGAGAUGCUUUCUGCAGGAUUUCCAGAUUUCAACAAAAUUGUUUUACCCUGAAUAAUGGUAGGUUUAGUCUUAGCCAAAAUGCAACUGGGCAGUCUGUUACUUCCCAUAUGGAAAGCAACUGUUCAAGUAAAUUAUAUAAUUGUACAUUACAACUUUGCUUCUGUCAUACAUUAUAAAUUCACUUCUAUCCCAAACUGAGACCAUCGCAUGAUUGAGCCAAGUACAGUGUUGCUUUAACCGGCCUUUCUUGUUGUAGUUUCAUCCAGCAAAAAAAAAAAAAAAAAAAAAAAAAAAAGUGAAUUCUCUUUAUAAUUCUCUUACUUGGCUUCUUGGAAAUAGGAAUUUUGCUUGGACCUGUCAGUGGAUGUCACUUUUAUCCUGAUUUGGAGAAUCUUAUCAAGGAAAUUUUCUGGAGUAGCUUGUUGUGAAAUGAGGAGCUAAUAGGAAAAGGUGUCUUUAGGUCUACAGUGAAUCUCCUAAAUUCAUAUCAAAACCACCCAUUUUAAGUUCUGAGUCAGUGGGUGGACUGAAGAUAAGUGAACUUGACUAGAAAGUCAAGGACCCAUUGGUGCUGACUCUGCUUUCUUCCCUAGAUGUGGAUGUGGUCUGGCUGAAGCUAUUUAAGUUUGUGAUGCAAUUAUGAAUUCAUGGCCCUUAGGGAUUCUUCACCUAUUCUGUGAUUAAGAAAUGAUGAAAUCUCAGUAUAAAACAUGAGUCAGAUGGAUGGAAAACGCUCUAAGGUACUCACUGACAUUGUAGAGUAUCUGAAUUAUGUGACUGCUUACCUCCAGAUAUUUUGCCAUGUGAAAAAAAAAUAAACCUUUAUUUG